UGGGUCCCAAUUCCAGAAACGAAGCGGAGAAGGCCCAGAUCUACCUGUGGUAGUGAACAAACAGGAAUGUGAGGACCAUCAAUGCAUAAGUGACCCUUCUCAUCCCUAUGUUUCACAGAGGGUUGAAGCUCAACCAUUUUAACUGCUAUUAACAACUGGAACCUGAAGGUACCAGAAUGUAGAGGUUGUAAAACAGAGCUCUUUUGUGCUAUGUUACCUAGAGGAACCACUGCAGCAGCUCUAGUACAGACGUGUCACAAAUAGGUAGGAGUUCCUAUACUUUUUGGAGGUGUUUGCUCCACAAGUAAGUAAAUUUCCAAUCAGCUCAGUGUGCCUUCUCAACAGAGUGUUAAUAUGACCAGAGGUAACCCAUUUUUUUCAUGUCCAUUCUUCUCUAGUCACAGUGUUAAUAUGAAUCUUUAACAGCUAGCUUUCUGUUUCGGACUUCUUGUCCUUUAUUUGUGUUUAGAACUUGUGUUUCAUGUUAAAAUGAACUGCAGAGAUGGUGGUGAAUCACAGUACUUUUGAAGACGAACAUCAAAUGCAUUUCCCUGCAAUUAUUUGACAUUUAGCUUUCUGCACAUAUGAUAAACAAACAUCUGGAAUUUAUUUUACAGGAUGCAAACAAUUUUCUAAGUUAUUGCAUGCUGUAUGGUCACGGUCUGAGAUAGACAGUUGUCUCCAAGCCUGAAAUCACGAUGUUUCAUUUCCACGAACAGAAUUUUUGCUUUAACUAACUGCAGUUUACUGACAGUCCAUUUUCGAAAUCUUGCUCUCCUUCAUUCAGAUUAAAAAGCUUCUCUCUUCUGGAAAAUGGUGCCUUAGGGCCCUAUCCAACAAACUGCUUUGAUAAUUGCCUGUGUUGCAAUGUGACCGCCUCUAUUGGUAAGUACAAGUCUGGGAGCAGACCUACCUACAGGAAUGGGCCCCAAGAAAUGAGGAAUAUCUCCAGUGUGUGUUUCUUCUCCAGAAGAAAAAUGUUCAUGUAGAAAAGUCCCAGUUUUUCCUAUUUCUAAAAUCAAUUUAUUUCCUGUGAAAUCAUAUUGCAAGACACUAUUUCUGCAUAUGAAUUACUUCCACAAUAUUUAUACUGCAAUAUCUUUUAGCUUCCAGGAAAAAUAUUUUUAAUGCUGUCUUACUGUCUUCAAAAUAUGUGGGUGGGUGACACACUUGUAAGACACAGAUAUGCAACGGGUGGCAUGCACAUUUGAUUUUGAGACCAUUUAAGGAGAGAGAAAAAGAAUAACAUUUAGCUCUGCAUAAUAUAUCACGCAGCAAAUCUUAGCACAACUGCUGGUUAAUGAACAACACACAAAACGCAAGGCACAAAAUGGAUAUUGCUUCUUCCUGUCGUCAUACAUAACCAUGUCAUUGUUUGGAAGACUUUAUUUUCAGAAUGAAAAUCUGCCUCCCUAAAUAAAAUACAGUUGCUGAGUGAGCUGUAGCAAGGGAGCAGUUUCACGAGCUUUUAACACUCCUACUGUAGGUCUGUUCAACAGCCUGAGAAAAUAAAGGACAAAGCGCUGGAGUUUGAUUAACAACAGGAAGCUUUUUGUUGUGGGCAUCUCUUGUGGCUUGAAAAGCUGUAUAAUCCAUCACUUGACACAACACACCAAAGUAAAUAUUUUUAGAGAACUGUGUCAUUUCCCCAGAUAGCAUACAGUGCUCUGAUUUAUAUUGACUGUUGUGAUGCUUCACUGUUCUGUCAAAUAUUUUAAUUAAUCAAGAGCUAAUCUUUUUCAUUUGUUAAGCCCAUAUUUUUUAUUAGAUGCUGCUGUUGUUUUGACCAAUCACGUGCUCCCAUGAUGUACAUACAGCUAUCAAUUAGUUGCUUUAUUUAUUGAGCUUUAAGUAAAAAAGAUUACAAUGCUAAGUAAAAAUGGCACAAGCUCUAGUAGAAAUUCUGAAAGGAGUUUCACUAAUUUGGUUUGAGUGUUAUUUCCAAAAGCCUUCAUCCCUGAAUUGAAUUGUCAUUGAAAGAGCACAACCCCUUGAUUAAUGACAGAGUGUAAAUAUUCAUCCUGGGUUUAAGUGAAAGUAGUGAAGGCUUUUGUGCAAAAUUCUCAUUGGUACUUGUGUCAGCUCCACAAACAAAGCAAGAUAAAAAUAUUGCAGUUGGUAGGAUCUCUCCUGAGUCACUGAAGUCUUUCUCAUUGACUUUGACAGCAACAUCCUGAAAGCCUGACAAGAGAAAGCAGCUAAUCAUGUGCUCGACUUCUAGCCUGUGCUGAACAACUGCCCUCAGUCAGCAUGCUUUACUGAACUGAUGCCUAUGUGACUUGGCAAAAGUGGGAAGCAUUUGUUUGCCAGCUACUAUCCUGUUGUAAUCAGAGGCAGAGGCAGCAAGGCUUGAUCUGAAAUGUAUCUUGGCACUCUAAAUGUAAGUACAA